UUGAGUUAUUUCUAUAUGUACCUAUUAACGGUCACCCGGUCCUUUGCAGGUCACUUUGUAUAUUGGUUUUUUGUUAGAUAAUGUCUGUGUAAAAUUUUUUUUAGUUUUUUAUUUUUUUUAUCACCAUCUAAGGAUAACCGCCAUCCCCGUAGGAGCCUUUGUGGUACACAGGCUCAGUGGAAUAUUGAUUAAGGAUGCUCUACACAAUUCCGAAGGAGGAAAUAAAAUUAAUAAAUUUUAAUUUUCCAAAAUUGCAAAAGGUAUAGCAGAGUUAUUUCCUUCGGAAUCUGAAUAUGUUUAUUUCAUUCCAUAUUUUAGAGAAGGCAUUAAAGUUAGCCCAAAUCGAGGGGAAUCGUACGAUAAAUAUUGUAACAUAAAAAAAGAAAUUAAUAGAAUCAAUACAGCAACUAAACAAAAAAAACUCUUGUAACAAAGACGAUACAGUUUUUAUAAACGAAGAAGACAUUUUGGAUUCAAUAAAUUGGCUAAAGCACAAUAUUGAACCUGAAAUAACUUUGUAUAAGCUGUGGGCAGAAACUGCAAGUUGUCGUUUGCAAAAACAAAGUAUUGACAAAUAACUCUUAAAUACCCAGCUUUAAAAAAGUCAAAGAGUCAUAUACUUGAGAUGAUGAUUUAGCUGCCAUUCAAUUAUUACCCUACCUAUUUAAUCCUGUUAACAUUAAAUUACCAAAAAAAAAACCACUGUCAACAAUGUCACAAAAUAUUCAAUGCGAAGACUAACAAAAUUAGAACAAGCUAGUUCAUAACAAGCUAGUUACAUAACUAAUAUCAAUGAUCUUAAAACAACGCACAAAGAAAAAGUGAACAGGGCAUUUAAUUGUGGGAUUAUUGUUCAACGAUAUAUUGCCAUUGUGGGUAAUCUUGAAGGAUAAAUACUUCACUCAGCUACUAUACAGUUUUUAAUGACGUAUAUUAUAAACUAGAAACUCCCAUCAAGGCCUUAGAUAUAUACUUUAAAUCAUUUCAUUCAUUCAAUUUAGAAUAUCUUCAAGAGGCUAAACAGGUA